CGCUGUGCUCUCCGAUAUAGUAAAUUGUUCUAUCCUGUUCCUCCACUAAUCCAGUCUCCAAGUUUUUAAUCUUUCAGGUUUUAGCUGCUCAUCGCUGGAUCCUUUCGUCGUCGUCCAUGUGGUUCCUGUCCUUCUGGACCCCUUGUUUUUCACGCUGCUCGUACGUUUUUCCACAUUCACAUGAUACUGCUUGCCUCCUGCUGGUGGUGGGGACCAUCAGCUUUACUAAAUAAAAGUAGAAAUAGAAAUUCACUAUUAGUAAUUUAGAAACUGUUCAACCAUGUAGAGUUAAAGUUUACAUUAAGUAAGGAAUGCUUGCCUGACAACAUGUUGUAUUAGAAACCAAAUUAAAGCAUCAGGACAAUAAGAAAUUAGAAGACAAAGGAGAACAUAGACAGAAUUUAUGAUUGAAGGAUUUAAUUAAAAGUUUUUAUUCAGAGAGACACUAGAGAACAGGAUCGGAGGAAAGGAAAUGGAGAGCAUGUGGAGUAAAGUUUUAUGUAGAUAAACUAUUAAUCUCAUGAAACAAAUAGUUUAUAUGGCUAACAGCAUGUUCAUGUGUUGCAACACAGCAAAAUCACAGAAGAUGAAUAGACAUUAAAAAAAUACCAAACUAGUCUCUGGUUCGGGUUCAGACUUCUCAGAUCUCUGAUUCUCUGGUCGUCCCAGGUUGGAUCUCCUCCGCCUGUAAUCCUCCACCUUCAGCACCACCAGUCAGGUGGAGGAAGAUAAGAGAACCCAGUUGACAAAAAAAGUAAGAAACUUAUUUUCAUUUUAAAUAUGGAAGAAAUUGAGGUCAAAUUUCAAAAUUGUUCUUCCUUCUGUCCAUGUAUAUUCUAUUUGUUAACCCUGUUGUCUUUUCUCUGGAUUUCAUUUCUACAUCAACUCAUGUCACAUGACAUGAGUUGACCAACAAUUAAAGCAGAAGACCAGCUCCGCCUGUAAUCCUCCUCCUUCAACACCACCAGUCAGGUGGAGGAAGAUAAGAGAACCCAGUUGACUAAAAAAAGUAAGAACAUUUAUAUCUACACAACAUGAUUAAUCAUUUCAAAUAUAGCUGCGGAGAGCUGAACUGAAAGUUAGAAACUGUCUGCUGUCCAUGCAUAUUUUCCUCCUUCACUUUAUCUUCUCUCUUUAUUUCAUUUCUCUGUGAACUCAUGUGAUGACUGGAGUUGACCAACAAUUAAAGCAGAAGACCUGCUCCACCUGCUGAUCUACUGGUUGUAACAGCUUGUGGGAAAGCAUCACUGGACCAAUCAGGCGAGAGAAGACAGAGAGGACUGAGGACUGAAACGAAAAUACUCUGCCUGCCAAAAAAGGUUUGAGGCAGACCGACCGCUGGGGAGAUGGACCUCACCUGACACCAUUACUCUGGAUGUAACAGGUAGCUCGACUCUGCUGUCAAAACAUCAAUGACUCGAGAAGCGGACAGCGAGAUUUCUGGUGCCUGGCUGGAGACGAGAUUCUGAUUAUUCAAGAGCCAAAACAAAAUGUCAGAAUAAAUAGUUAGAAGGCAGAUUUGUUUUCUAUUUGUUGUUGUUUUUAUUAUUAAUGCUCCACGACACAAAAUGUAUCACUGCUGUAACUCUUGAGUUUAAUAAAAUGUUCUUCUUUCAAUCUGUUAUUUCUGCUGUCAUUUUUUUUUUUACCAUAAUCAUUUGUGGAAACAUUAUAUAUUAAAGGAACGCCCACAUUUUUAAUAGAACUUCAUGACUGAUCAAAGCACAAACUGGAGAACAGGAUUAA